rnacentral:rRNA from 1 species
CCUACGGGUGGCAGCAGUGGGGGAUAUUGCACAAUGGGGGAAACCCUGAUGCAGCGACGCCGCGUGGGUGAAGAAGCGCCUCGGCGCGUAAAGCCCUGUCAGCAGGGAAGAAAAUGACGGUACCUGAAGAAGAAGCCCCGGCUAACUACGUGCCGGCAGCCGCGGCAAUACGUAGGGGGCCAGCGUUAUCCGGAUUUACUGGGGGUAAAGGGGGCGCAGACGGCGAUGCAAGCCAGGAGUGAAAGCCCGGGGCCCAACCCCGGGCGUGCUCUUGGAACUGGGUGGCGAGAGUGCAGGAGGGGCAGGCGGAAUUCCUGGUGUAGCGGUGAAAUGCGUAGAUAUCAGGAGGAACACCGGUGGCGAAGGCGGCCUGCUGGGCUGCAACUGACGUUGAGGCCCGAAGGCGUGGGGAGCAAACAGGAUUAGAUACCCCUGUAGUC